ACGUCCCACUACAACGUUGGGAGACGAUCGUGUGACCGUCCCCUCAAUUCCUCGGGGGCCUGACGCAUGGCCACCCUGCACUCGCAUGUCCUGGCCACCUCUUCUGGGGUUGUCAGCACCGACCAUUGGGUCCAGCUUUCUGGAAUGGAGAGGGGGUGGACGUGAGGAGGGAAGGGACACAAUAUAACCUCUACUUUCUAGAAGAAAGUGGGGGGGGGGGAAUCACUUAAAUCUAAAAUCUUCCUUCAAGCAAUCUAUUGAUAAUAGGGGCAGCAGGGGAAUUUUAGGGCAGUAAAAUUAUUCUGUUUGACACUGUGAUGGUGGAUUGAGGUCACUAUGCGUUUGCCAAAACUCACGGGACGUAUGAUACUCAGAGCGAUCUCAAAUGUAAAUGUGGACUUUAGUUAAUAAUAAUGCAUCAGUGUCGGCUCAGCUAUGACAAAAUUACCACAGUAAUGCGAGAUAUUAAUACUAGGGGAAACUGGGUGUGGGGGGAAGGGAGGUAUGUGGGAACUCUACACUUGCCGUUGAAUAUUUCUGUAAACCUAAAACUGUUCUCAAAGAAUGAAAUCUAUCAAUGAAAACAAAACAAAUCUAUUAAUACAAGGGCAUAUCUCUAAUCCCUUCCAAUGAACGCUCACAGCACAUGGCUGUUUUCUGCAAAGAAAACCAUUCAACGCACAGAAACAAAUGACGUAAGCCCCGGUUUUUAUCACCCUUAAAGCCAGCUAUCUAGGCACAAGCUUCAGCUGACGCAGACCCCGGGCUCACACGCUCCGAUCCUCUCAAAGGUUGCGCAAGCAUACAUUUUCAGUUUCCAUAAUUCCAUUAUUUAUCUUUGAAAGAUACCAGAGCCUUGGACAAACAAGUCCUCUGCGGAGCUCUGAGAAACGACUCCACCUGUUUCUGGGCGGUCUUUCUCCUUCCCCAAGAUGACGUUCUCUGCCGGGUAAGUCUCGGUUCCAGCUUGGAAGUGGGGAAGUUUAUAGACACACACAGACGCACAGACACACAGACGCACACGCUCUUAUUGGAGUUGCACUCUCUUUUGCACUUCUCAGUGAGGGGCCAUUUCGACAGGCUUUCUGGAAUGGGGAGGGGUGGAGCACCAGAGAGCGGGUCUGGGGUGCUGGCCGCCCUCCCAGGUCUCUCCCUUCAAGCUGCGUCACCCUUCUGUGUUCCCCACUUGCCGCCAGCCCUCAUUGCAGGGCCCCCCUCCUCCAGGCAGGCAGCAGGGGUCCCGCUCCAAGAGGAGGCAGCCCCUCUCUGUUCUCCAUCAGCAGCCUUGUGCCUCUCACAGCCUGGAUUGGCACCUUGACCUGUGUCCCCCUGGGGGGGUGGCCUCCUGCCUCCAGCUGUCGCGCAGCCCAAACCCCACCAGCCUUCCUUGCGGGUAACGCAAUGUUCUAACAAGUGUGGUUUCAGUGUUUCCCAGCUCUGUCCAUACCUGGCUUAGCCGGCUCCCUGCCAGCCGUUGGGGGCCCACACAGUUCUGCUUCUACGUAAUAGAAGCAGCUCUGCGAUGGGGCAGAGGACUACUGUCUUUUCUUUCUCAAAACAAUUUUCAAUGUUUGUUUAUUUCGGAGAGAGAGACAGAUCGCGAGCGAGGGAGGGGCAGAGAGAGAGGGAGACACAGAAUCCGAAGCAGACGCCAGGCUCUGAGCUGUCAGUGUGGCGUCCGACGUGGGGCUCGAGCCCAGGGACUCCGCGACCAUGACCUGUGCCAAAACUUAACCGACCGAGUCACCCAGGCGCCUCAAGGAGACACAGAGAGAGAGACAAAGUGCAAGAGGGGAAGGCGCAAAGAGAGAGGGAGACACAGAACUGAAACAGGCUCCAGGCUCUGAGCUGUCAGCACGGAGACCCAAUGCGGAACUUGACCCGACGAACCUGGAGAUCAUGACCUGAACCGAGGUCGGACGCUUAACCGACUGAGCCACCCAGGCACCCCACCUAAUGCACAUUUUUAUUUAUUUAGGAUUUAGGCUUUCCCCUCUAAAAAGACUUCAAGCAUUAAAUGAUGUGGGAGACUUCAGGAUUAAAAAUAGAACAGAGGCCAUGCGGAGACCUUACCUUGUGCCGGAGCGACCCUCGGGUCCUCAAGUCGGUGUUGACUUUCAAGGGAGGUUUCUUCAUGUAGUGGCUAACAUGGGUCCAGUGGCUUCAGCUGCUCCAUCUAACAGCUUUGUGACCUGAGCCAUCCGGAGAUGAGACGGACUUGCUGACUUCCUAAUCCAGAAUUCUCGUGGAAGGGCUCUGACGGGCCCAGACUGGAUCUGUGCCUGCCCUGAACCAGUCAGCUGUGGCCAGAGAGGCAUAGCCACUUAGCAAAAAGUGGCUGCUCCCCAGUCCCACAGUGAUUACGUGAAUGGGGAUGGGGGUUGCAGGUGGAGACAGAUCCAAGAAAAUCUAGGGGACUGGACAUAUGGGAAAAUGUGCAAAAUAACACGUUUGGGGUUAAUUGUUCAUGAAAGUUCUGCUGUUGCUGUGUCAAAACACAAAAUUAUCUUCCCGAGUCUCUGAUCAAAGGUCUUAACAUCCUUUGUUCUGAGAAAAUGUUGGCAGGAAAUUAAAGCAAGUUUUGAAGAAAUUAUUGGUCAAAUCUCAGCUCACACAACUGAUUUUCCCAAAUGGACACAAUUAAAAAAUAAUCCAGCUGAGAGGAUUCUGGGAAGAUAAUGGUGCAGGAAGCAACCAGAAUCUCUCUCCUCACUUAGACAGCUGAUUGCUGGCAGUCUGAUGUAACUAUUUUGGAACUCUGGAGUCUGUUAGAGGCUUGCAAGUUCCAGGGGAAGUCUUGGGCAGUAAAUUGCAGUUAAUUUCAGUCGAUUUCAGCUCUUAGGGCAGUAGCACCUGCCCACCCCCCACCCCCAGCCAGGUGGCAGACAGCUGUGCAUGUGUUCCUGGAGCAGCUUGCACACCACAUGUGGGAACCCAGGUCGGCCAAAAGGACCCUGACUUACAAAUAUCAGGGAUCUGUGCUCUGACUGCUGUUUGCUGCUUCUGAUCUCAGAGGCACACAGAGGAGGGCCCCUCUUAGUAACACAAAACGCACCAAGAUGAAAUCAUGAAGAAGUAGAAAAUUUGAAUAGAUCAAUGACUAGU